UGUUUUGUUUUGUUUUUAAUGUAGCAAAGGCUUAAACUGCUUAAAAGGGCUAUUCAAAUCUUCCUUUGUUUUCAAGACAGGGUCUCACUAUGUAGCUCAGAUUAGGCCCAGCCUUGUGUCUUCCUGCCUCAGUCUCCUGAGUGCUGGUGUCACAGGCUUGUGCCACCAAUCUCCUUGAACAUCCCAUUAUGAGCAGUGCAGCCUAAUGUCUGAAGAUCUCUAACUUGAAAGCACAAGGGAGCUGUCCCAAAGCUUUUAAUGAGAGCAUCAUUGCAGCUGCAGAGGGAUACUGGCCGGUGACCCUCAGUGACAGGAAGACUAUCUUAGUGAGGGCUCGUGAUGGCAUCUGGGUGACUGCCAAGAGAGUUUGGGGGUGAGCUUUGCCCUGGGUUGGGUACCAUGGAGAUGUUGGGGUAAUGAAGUGGUACUUUAAUAAAUCUAGUACUGUAGUGGAAUCAGACAGAGCAGGAUGGAGACCAGAGCUGUAACCCACAUGGAAACAGUGAUUCCUCUUCUCGGACACAGUCUGGAGAAAUCAAGCCAGGUCAUUGCCCAGUCAUGGCUAUGUUGGGUUUUGUAUAGACAGUGGCAGAGAGGCCUUGUUUCUGUCCAGCUCAUCAGUUACAAGGCAUCUCUGCUGAUGGUGUCUUGUGAGGUCUUUAUGUCCCACCCAGGUCCAACCUGUUGUUGUGAGCCUCAGAUUGUCUUGCAGGGACACCUAAGGCUGGCAGUCUUCUGGGUUCAGCUCCCAGAAGUCAGUCGGUUUUGCUGUUUCUCUGCUGACAACAACAGCAAUUCAAGUGGUUCUUUUCCCCUUUGAAGAGUGGAUGGGGGCGUGGCUCAUCAUGACACCAGAGAGAAAGUGGGAGAAUCUGAGGAGCAGGACAUUGAAAUCAAUACAUGGGCUCCUGAGCCCAGGCCCUGAGCCUCAAACAAGCAGGUAUUUACUUACUCCUGACCAGUCUUGCAUAAGCUUUGUGGUCUUUUAUGGCCUGAUGUUCAAGGUCACCAUGACACCUGCUCUACUGGUCUGAGCAGUCAUAAGGCUCCAGUGUGGGGAAGGACAAGAGGUUGAAACACCUUGAUUGGAAGAUUGUCAAAGAACACACACACACACACACACACACACACACACACACACACACACACAGUACUGCAGGUAAUAUGCACAUGUAGAAAUCACGUUUCUGAUUUAGGCAGUCAUGUGACUAGGUUCUGCAGAUAAUUUUAUUUAUUUGUGUAUUAUGUUAUGUCUAUGGGUAUUUUGUCAGAUUGUAUGUCUGUGUACUACGUAUGUCUGGUGGAGGCCUAAAGAGGGUAGGACAGUGGAUUCCUGCAACCACAGUUACAGAUGGUUGGGAACUGCCUGAUGUGAUCUGGGAAUCGAACUCUAGUCCUCCAGAAGGGCAUCCAGCGAUCCAUUGAUGCAACUACAGAGUCAUCUCUGCAGAUGCUUUACAAGGAGAAACACCUGGGAAGAAGAUAGGAAAACUGCUUGCUGGAGCUGACUAGGGCAGACGCUGCGUCCUGUGCACAGCACUUUCCCUUUGAUCUAAGGUAUGGUGUGAUGGCCAGAGCCCAGCAGCUUGGGCCAUGAGGAGAGCCAUGGAUUUAAACCACAUGGAUUUAAAAAGACUGUAGAGGUUUGGGGAUCUUCUGAUGGAAGAGCUGACCUGCCAACCAUUGCCCACUUCACCUAAGAGUUGGACGGAUUUUUACCUUGUCUAAACCACUCUCAGGUGCCUUGGAUGCCCCUGCAGUGGACACAUCGCUCCUUGAACUCCGUUUCGUCCGUGACUCAUCUCAGUUCUGCCAGUUGCUGCCCUUCAUGACUCCUGGCCUUGUCCUGGGCAGAAAGGGCUGUCUUCUUGUUUUAAGGCUCUGUUGCUGUCAUGUCCAAGUUCUUAUAUCUGGGCCUGGUGCUGGGAGUGAGGUCUGAUCAGACAAUGAGAUGUGCACGUGAGGAGGGAAGUGGGUGUCUGCAGCUCAUGGGUGGUGCGUACAGUUCCACGUGAGCAGAGAACUGUGGGAGCCCACAUGCACCCUUGAUGAGGUCCAGAUCAAGCAGAGGGUGGUGUGUGGUGGCUGCCUAGGCUGAGGCUGCCUGUGUUGGAGGCUUUCCUUACCACGGAGCCCAUCACUGGGACAAGAUGCAGAGUGUUUGCUUUUGCGACUAAGACUGAAGUUCUUGAAUGUGCCCAGAUAAACAGUAUCAUUUAUUUAUUUGAGUGGAAGCCAGUCUUUUCUUAGAAGCACAGAAUAUUCAUGAUGUGUCAGGGAAGGCCCUAGAAAGUGCAAUGCCUAUGUCACAGGGAAAGCCACAUGCAGUUUAACUGCCCCCGAAUUCCUCUACAAAAUCAUAUUUUCUUCCCAGAAUGGCUUUCUUUCCCUUUUAAGUGUGUGUGAACAUGUCUGCUCCUUCCUCACAUGCCUGACUUCAUGGAGAGACACACUUUAAGUGCAAGAACAAACUGAACACACCUGCAGCCAUCACAAAGGUUGGGAAGCCAGCGUUCCCAGGACCCUGGACACUGCGCUGAGCCUCCUCCAAGUGAAGAUGCGCCUUCCACUGUCUGACUACUACUACUUACUCAUUAUCUUCUGUUGCUUCUCAGAGGCUACUUACAAUGUGCUUUCUGAAUUCCAGCUCUGGUCACAGCCCUUAGGCCCAGGGACACAGAUGUAAGGGUGUUAGAUAAUCUUUUACCUUUCUUUGGGACUUAUUCUCAAACUGUGUUUCCAUGGAACCCUGAGAUCAUUUCCCAAUCAGCAGGAAAAAGAACAGAUUCCUGGACUGGCUUCUGUGUUGAGAGCCUUUGAGGUCCAUUUCUGAGUUUCAGUAGUGACAAUGAGCAAGAAGCAGGGGAUGAUGGGAAAACACAGUAGUACCCUAGGUCACCCUUGACACAGUGGUCACCAAUUGCACAGUCAUCGUAUGGGUUCUAAUCCACUGCUCUCUCAACCCACUCUAUUCCUAAAGUCUAGACACAAUGGCUUCCAGACUCUGGAUGGGAAGUGGUAGGUGUUGGCCACUCAGGAAGGGUCUGGGACAGCCAGGAGACACUCUGGUCCCACACCCCGACCCUCACCCCUUUCCAGACCAGAAUCAACACCUGAACUCUCUUCCAGGGCAGGAAGCAUAGUACAGCAGCAGAAUACUUGUCUGGCAUGUGCCUGUGUGUCCUGAAACCAUGGCAGGACAGUCAGGAAGCCAGAAACCUGAGCACACAGGUCAGUGUCAAUAAGACAAAAAGACCACCAACAGAUUGGGAAAGGAUCUUUACCUAUCCUAAAUCAGAUAGGGGACUAAUAUCCAACAUAUAUAAAGAACUCAAGAAGGUGGACUUCAGAAAAUCAAAUAACCCCAUUAAAAAAUGGGGCUCAGAACUGAACAAAGAAUUCUCACCUGAGGAAUACCGAAUGGCAGAGAAGCACCUGAAAAAAUGUUCAACAUCCUUAAUCAUCAGGGAAAUGCAAAUCAAAACAACCCUGAGAUUCCACCUCACACCAGUCAGAAUGGCUAAGAUCAAAAAUUCAGGUGACAGCAGAUGCUGGCGUGGAUGUGGAGAAAUAGGAACACUCCUCCAUUGUUGGUGGGAUUGCAAGCUUGUACAACCACUCUGGAAAUCAGUCUGGCGGUUCCUCAGAAAAUUGGACAUAGUACUACCAGAGAAUCCAGCAAUACCUUUCCUGGGCAUAUAUCCAGAAGAUGCCCCAACUGGUAAGAAGGACACAUGCUCCACUAUGUUCAUAGCAGCCUUAUUUAUAAUAGCCAGAAGCUGGAAAGAACCCAGAUGCCCCUCAACAGAGGAAUGGAUACAGAAAAUGUGGUACAUCUACACAAUGGAGUACUACUCAGCUAUUAAAAAGAAUGAAUUUAUGAAAUUCCUAGCCAAAUGGAUGGACCUGGAGGGCAUCAUCCUGAGUGAGGUAACACAUUCACAAAGAAACUCACACAAUAUGUACUCACUGAUAAGUGGAUAUUAGCCCCAAACCUAGGAUACCCAAGAUAUAAGAUAUAAUUUGCUAAACACAUGAAUCUCAAGAAGAAUGAAGACUGAAGUGUGGACACUAUGCCCCUCCUUAGAUUUGGGAACAAAACAGCCAUGGAAGGAGUUACAGAGACAAAGUUUGGAGCUGAGAUGAAAGGAUGGACCAUGUAGAGACUGCCAUAUCCAGGGAUCCACCCCAUAAUCAGCAUCCAAACGCUGACACCAUUGCAUACACUAGCAAGAUUUUAUUGAAAGGACCCAGAUGUAGCUGUCUCUUGUGAGACUAUGCCGGGGCCUAGCAAACACAGAAGUGGAUGCUCACAGUCAGCUAAUGGAUGGAUCAUAGGACUCCCAAUGGAGGAGCUAGAGAAAGUAGCCAAGGAGCUAAAGGGAUCUGCAACCCUAUAGGUGGAACAACAUUAUGAACUAACCAGUACCCCGGAGCUCUUGACUCUAGCUGCAUAUAUAUCAAAAGAUGGCCUAGCCGGCCAUCACUGGAAAGAGAGGCCCAUUGGACUUGCAAACUUUAUAUGCCCCAGUACAGGGGAACACCAGGGCCAAAAAGGGGGAGUGGGUGGGCAGGGGAGUGGGGGUGGGUGGAUAUGGGGGACUUUUGGUAUAGCAUUGGAAAUGUAAAUGAGCUAAAUACCUAAUAAAAAAUGGAAAAAAAAAAAAGAAAUAUCUGAAGGUCGGCUCCUGUGCCGUGGAAGUGGCAUGGAGAGGAAUUCCAUAGGUUGUCACAGGGAAUGGGCAGGAUAUCGCUCUGUUCCCAGGCCUGAUGACUUACUAGGUUAUAGGGAUCUCGCCUUCCCUCUGCAAGGGGACAAAGCUUCUUCUGUGUUUCUUGCACCAGCGCUAAAACCAGGGCCCUGAAUUAUGCCACAGGGACAUGAAAGUCAACUGGAAACGGACAGUUCUUCCAUGGCAGCCUAUGGACACCUGGACUCUUACUCCAUAGUAGGAACCCUGGGACGAGGCAGAUUCAGAAGUCAUGGAGAGCCCUGGCUGUAGGCUGAAUUCUAGAAUCUCUUCUUAGAGUUCUAGGGUCCCUGAGGGCUUUAGCCAAGAGGAACGCACUCUAGGAGGGAAGUAUGAUCUCUUAGGAGCAAAAGAUGGAGGUCCGUGGUAUGAACACAGUGAACUCCAGUAUAGCAACAGCCUUUACUGGCCUCAUGCAGUGCUCUCAGGAACAGUGUGUGCUGUCUGGCUGCCUCCUCUGGGGACCCACCAGGCACCAAUGAGAACAGCCUGGUUUGGAGAUCCUUCCAGAAAGUUCUGUUAGCCUUGUGAUGGGCAGCAAGGACAGCACUUUAGUUUUUUUAUGAAAUGAUAGGACACCGAGUGGAGGCAAGAAGAAGGAUCAAAGAUUUGGGGUAGGAAUUUCAGCUGCAAACAUUCCCGAUCCUGUUUGCAGGAACUGCAGCCUCCAGGAGAUUCAGCCUGCUCUCCAAGCCAUCCCUGUCCCUGCCGGACUCCAACAGCAGCUGUGAUCUGGAGUUUGUCCAUUAGACCAGACCAAGUGGCCAGUGAACCGCAGGGACCCGCCUGUCUCUGCUGCCUCAGUGCUGGGAUUGCAGGAGCAUGCACCACGCCCAUCUUUUCAUGGGGGUUCUGGGAACAAGCUCUGUUUCUCAAGAUGUGUCCAUGCCGGUGCUUUACUGACUGGGCCGUCUCCUCAGCUCAGAAACUAGCUAGCAUUCAUGGCCGCCUGCUUCCUGCUGGGAAACUGGGACAUUGACACAGGUGGCUUCAUUUCUCCAUAGCACAACACAGCUAGAAGGAAGCAUUCCUGAGUCCAUCUCUCAGGCAGGACAAUAAAGACUAUGAGAAGCUGGGCAACUAGCCUCGGGUCUCAAGGACAGUAUGACCUCCCCCAGCAAAUUCUGCCUGGUCUCACAUGGUAGGUAGUAAAAAAGCUCUGCUGGGUGAAUGCUUAA